rnacentral:rRNA from 1 species
CCUACGGGAGGCAGCAGUCGAGAAUCAUUCACAAUGGGGGAAACCCUGAUGGUGCGACGCCGCGUGGGGGAAUGAAGGUCUUCGGAUUGUAAACCCCUGUCAUGUGGGAGCAAAUUAAAAAGAUAGUACCACAAGAGGAAGAGACGGCUAACUCUGUGCCAGCAGCCGCGGUAAUACAGAGGUCUCAAGCGUUGUUCGGAAUCACUGGGCGUAAGGCGUGCGUAGGCUGUUUCGUAAGUCGUGUGUGAAAGGCGCGGGCUCAACCCGCGGACGGCACAUGAUACUGCGAGACUAGAGUAAUGGAGGGGGAACCGGAAUUCUCGGUGUAGCAGUGAAAUGCGUAGAUAUCGAGAGGAACACUCGUGGCGAAGGCGGGUUCCUGGACAUUAACUGACGCUGAGGCACGAAGGUCAGGGGAGCGAAAGGGAUUAGAUACCCGAGUAGUC